GAGCGGCAGCACGGGAAGCUUGCUUCCUGGUGGCGAGCGGCGGACGGGUGAGUAAUGCAUAGGAAUCUGCCCGGUAGUGGGGGAUAACCUGGGGAAACCCAGGCUAAUACCGCAUACGUCCUACGGGAGAAAGCAGGGGCUCUUCGGACCUUGCGCUAUCGGAUGAGCCUAUGUCGGAUUAGCUGGUUGGUGAGGUAAUGGCUCACCAAGGCGACGAUCCGUAGCUGGUCUGAGAGGAUGAUCAGCCACAUCGGGACUGAGACACGGCCCGAACUCCUACGGGAGGCAGCAGUGGGGAAUAUUGGACAAUGGGCGCAAGCCUGAUCCAGCCAUGCCGCGUGUGUGAAGAAGGCCCUCGGGUUGUAAAGCACUUUCAGUGGGGAAGAACGCCUUCCGGUUAAUACCCGGGAGGAAGGACAUCACCCACAGAAGAAGCACCGGCUAACUCCGUGCCAGCAGCCGCGGUAAUACGGAGGGUGCGAGCGUUAAUCGGAAUUACUGGGCGUAAAGCGCGCGUAGGUGGCUUGAUAAGCCGGUUGUGAAAGCCCCGGGCUCAACCUGGGAACGGCAUCCGGAACUGUCAGGCUAGAGUGCAGGAGAGGAAGGUAGAAUUCCCGGUGUAGCGGUGAAAUGCGUAGAGAUCGGGAGGAAUACCAGUGGCGAAGGCGGCCUUCUGGACUGACACUGACACUGAGGUGCGAAAGCGUGGGUAGCAAACAGGAUUAGAUACCCUGGUAGUCCACGCCGUAAACGAUGUCGACUAGCCGUUGGGUCCUUCGCGGACUUUGUGGCGCAGUUAACGCGAUAAGUCGACCGCCUGGGGAGUACGGCCGCAAGGUUAAAACUCAAAUGAAUUGACGGGGGCCCGCACAAGCGGUGGAGCAUGUGGUUUAAUUCGAUGCAACGCGAAGAACCUUACCUACCCUUGACAUCCUGCGAACCCUUCGGAGACGAAGGAGUGCCUUCGGGAACGCAGAGACAGGUGCUGCAUGGCUGUCGUCAGCUCGUGUUGUGAAAUGUUGGGUUAAGUCCCGUAACGAGCGCAACCCUUGUCCCUAUUUGCCAGCGAU
rnacentral:rRNA from 2 species